AGCUCAGUUGGUUAGAGCAACCGGCUCAUAACCGGUAGGUCCGGGGUUCGAGUCCCUGA
rnacentral:tRNA from 1 species